rnacentral:rRNA from 1 species
GAUGAACGCUAGCGGCAGGCUUAACACAUGCAAGUCGAGGGGUAUAGGUUUUCGGACCUAGAGACCGGCGCACGGGUGCGUAACGCGUAUGCAAUCUACCUUUCACAGAGGGAUAGCCCAGAGAAAUUUGGAUUAAUACCUCAUAGUAUGUAUGAAUGGCAUCAUUUAUACAUUAAAGUCACAACGGUGAAAGAUGAGCAUGCGUCCCAUUAGCUAGUUGGUAUGGUAACGGCAUUCCAAGGCUACGAUGGGUAGGGGUCCUGAGAGGGAGAUCCCCCACACUGGUACUGAGACACGGACCAGACGCCUACGGGAGGCAGCAGUGAGGAAUAUUGGUCAAUGGGCGCAAGCCUGAACCAGCCAUGCCGCGUGCAGGAUGACGGUCCUAUGGAUUGUAAACUGCUUUUGUACGGGAAGAAACACUCCUACGUGUAGGAACUUGACGGUACCGUAAGAAUAAGGAUCGGCUAACUCCGUGCCAGCCGCCGCCGUAACAC